UAUACUCCACAAUGAAACGUUGCGAAUGUGCAUGUUAUCGUUUUUUUUAAAGUAUGACGCUAUAUUUCUCUGCAUACAGAAUUAUUGCACCAUAUUUAUCGUCUCAGCCAAGUGAAUGAUUUGAACAGUAUUUAGCACAAUGCUCGUCAUUUUGCACGUUUUAUUUUCACGCGCAAUCUGUAUGAAAUUCGUUUCGGCUGCUAUUUGGAAAUGGUGAUUGCAUAAACUGAGCAGCCCGUGUUAUUGUGUGUCGUUCGCUUAGCUUGUUGGUGCGUCAAUAGCAUGGCAAAAUGUCGCUAUUUUUGAGUGACAAUCAACCGAAUAAAUGCAUUAUCCCAGACUGCAGAUUUCACACAGUUUUUUUAAUCGAGUAACAUGAUACACGAGCAAUGAAAAUGUUCACAAUCCUAUUCACGCGUUUACUACUAACGCAAUUAUCAAUUGGAGAUUUUUACUGCUCCCGUUCGUGAGCCACAAUAUCGACUGUACGGUGUACAGCGCUCCAUUCGAACCAUCAUCUUCCCCAAUGCCAGUCAAACUACUCUAUUAUCCGGCAUUCUAAUCAACAUCGUUCUAUAAAACGUCAGGUCUAGUUUGGUUAUAUUCUGUUACUACUACUAUCACCAACGAAACUUUCCACUACUAGCAUCUCAAAUGUUACCGUUAAACCAUUUUUUGACGUUUGAUUUCCGUGCAGAAGUUGAAAAAAGAAGAAUUUUAACGUAUUGAAGAAAGGAAAAUCAAUGAAAUUUGGUGCUUGAAUCUGUCGUGUUCGACUAUCGCUAGUACUAUGCUGCAUAAUAUUAAAUGCACCCAUUCAUUUUUCAUUGUUUUCAAAUUGUGCGCGAACAAAUUACAUUAAGCCUUAAUGGGAAUGGAUGAAUUUAGUAUUAUGUGACUUGUCGCUGCUGUCCAUUUACGUUUGACACUAGCAGUCGUAGAUCGUGUUACAUUACUGUUGAAAACCCACCGAAAGUUAUAAUAGGGUUGUUCCAUGUUUGUGUAUGUUUGAAAUAAUAAAAAUUCUGUUGAAAACAUCUGUUGCUGUGAUAAAUACAACAUGAUGAAAUCCAGCGUUCGUGAAGUGCUCACGAAAAAAACAGCCAAAGCUGUUGAAUGUUUAAUACGAAAAUCGGCAAAAAGCGCAUUAUAUUCGUCAGUCAGUUAAAAUAUCUUGAUGCAGAAGAGACGUUUACUUGAUUUAUUGCUCAAUUAAAAUUAAUAAAUAAAAUCGGUGAAAUGACUGUGAAAGCGAUGUGCUUACUUUUAUUGCCAUUGCUGCUUUGGUCGACGACAGCAGCCGCUCCUUGGUUGUGUGACCCAACUUGGUUCGGCUUUCCCGCAUCCGGAGGGUCAUUUUCAUCUUCCUCGUCAAGCGAAGAGUCCGGAGUAUCAUAUGGUUUCCCAGUUUGAUGUUGACAACAUCAAUCGUCGCAAAUUAAUCAAAUUUAAUUUUUAUUCUUCGACUAGAACAUCGUUUAAUGAUUCAAUAAAUUGUGUUAAAAUAU